rnacentral:rRNA from 1 species
UGGGGAAUAUUGCACAAUGGGCGCAAGCCUGAUGCAGCCAUGCCGCGUGUGUGAAGAAGGCCUUCGGGUUGUAAAGCACUUUCAGCGGGGAGGAAGGCGGUGAGGUUAAUAACCUCAUCGAUUGACGUUACCCGCAGAAGAAGCACCGGCUAACUCCGUGCCAGCAGCCGCGGUAAUACGGAGGGUGCAAGCGUUAAUCGGAAUUACUGGGCGUGAAGCGCACGCAGGCGGUUUGUUAAGUCAGAUGUGAAAUCCCCGGGCUCAACCUGGGAACUGCAUCUGAUACUGGCGAGCUUGAGUCUCGUAGAGGGGGGUAGAAUUCCAGGUGGAGCGGUGAAAUGCGUAGAGAUCUGGAGGAAUACCGGUGGCGAAGGCGGCCCCCUGGACGAAGACUGACGCUCAGGUGCGAAAGCGUGGGGAGCAAACAGG